AUUGGCAGAUCAGCAGCGGCGGUCAAAGUGGUUCCAUCGUGAGUGUUCUGUUCACGACUUCACCCCACCAUCAGCGGCGGUCAAAGCGGUUUGGACGUCCACUACCGAACAAUCCAGGCUCUCCCCAAUCCCCAUCUCUCCCUCAGUCCGCAAUCCCCAUCCCUAGCUUCUCUCUUCCUCCCCAAUCCCCACCCCUGUUGGCCACAUGCUCCACCUGGGGCGGACCGCCGACCCCCUCCACUCCCUCCCUGGCGGCUGUGAAGGCAUCCGCGGCGCACUCCCAGGCCGAGCUCCUCUAGGGUUGAUGGCAAUAGCGUCAAUUGCAGGCUACAACUUCCCGUCAGCUCUCCGAUUGAUCCGUCGGACGACGGCCAGCAGCGUUUGCCGCCGGCAGCACGGUUGUUUGUCCUCUUAAUUUCUACAACUGCCUUACUAUUUGGUUGUGGCCUUGAAUUAAGUGAAUUUUUCUUCUAAUGCAUCCCUUCCUUUCGGUGCCCGCGCGCACCUAGGAAUAUAUAGAAGUUAGGACUACUGCCGGCCGGCUGCGUCGCAUGUUCGUGGGAGGCCGGCAGCUGGCCAGCCAGCCCCCCUCCCUUCUGAUGACUCCGUGCGCUCGCCUUCUGCUUGGCCUGUAGUGCUGGCUGAUAAGCCGCGGUCACCUUCCACGGUUGUGCUACUGCCCAUAGGAUGGCCUGCAGAGUGUGCUCCUGCACGUUGUGCUUGGCCAUGGACGAAGACUACAAAGGCGACGCCGGUGGGCGACGACGGUGUUGAUUGGAUCGGAAACAAGCAUACAAAGUGGCAACAACAAAUGGAGAGACUUGGGACCUACCACUGCAGCAACUAAACAAAGGAAGCACGAGAGCUUGAUCUAGAACCUGAAGCAAAAGCAAGAACCUGAAGUGAUGAACCAGACAAUCUACUUGCUAGAAGAAACUGGUUGGACGCCGAUGAUGAUGAGGGUUAACAUCAGUAGCUGCAACAACUCCGAUACCGCUCGCGCCACGUCUUCUCCAUUCGUAUAGGUGGGCUCAGGUAGUCACAACAAAGUAUACUUAUCACUCAUACAGUGAACGGCAAGAUUGUCACAAGGCCACCUUCAGGUUGUACGAACUCAUUGUUCAGUUUGACUUGGCGCUGAGGAACAUAUAUAUACAAACAAAAAGCAUUUGCAUAGGCACAUUAUAUAUUUUACAUUGCCUGGCCACAGAGCUGCGGAGAGGGAAAGUCCAAAGGGUCCAUUCUGCCGCCGCGCGACGACAACCAUGCCUAUCUUCAUGAUGAAGGGGCUGUUGUGGAGCACUCCCGGCAGCGCAACCCAACGCACUAGAAUUCCGAUAAUGUCCAUCCUGCUGCAGUAUAGGAAGGAUGCCAUUCCAGUGGAGCAGGACCUGGAACGCGGCGGCAGCGCAACCCGACGCACUAGAAUUCCGAUAAUGUCCAUCCUGCUGCAGCAUAGGAAGGAUGCCAUUCCAGUGGAGCAGGACCUGGAACGCGGCAGGGAAUGGAAGAAACUAAGCUCUUCCAUCUUGAGGAAAGAAGGUAAUAUCUUCUUCUAUCCCCAGGUGACCCUGUUAAUUGCACCCAUGUUGUCCUUUUGGUGCGCAACAUUAGCAUCAAAGGAUAAGAAAAUCCAGUAGCAAGAUGAAAUAAGUUAUGUUCUAUUUUACGUGCUUAAAGAUUCUGGUUUAUUUAGUUUAUGCAUCCGACAGCUGCACUUUGUUUGUAGACUUCUACAAAAGUAACAAUGAAGAAGCAAAAGUGUAGCUUUU